rnacentral:rRNA from 1 species
UACGUAGGGUGCAAGCGUUGUCCGGAAUUAUUGGGCGUAAAGAGCUCGUAGGCGGUUUGUCGCGUCUGCUGUGAAAACUCAGGGCUUAACCCUGAGCCUGCAGUGGGUACGGGCAGACUAGAGUGUGGUAGGGGAGAUCGGAAUUCCUGGUGUAGCGGUGGAAUGCGCAGAUAUCAGGAGGAACACCGGUGGCGAAGGCGGAUCUCUGGGCCAUAACUGACGCUGAGGAGCGAAGGCAUGGGGAGCGAACAGG